AUGAACGUUGGCGGUGUGGAUUAGGCAUGCAAGUCGAGCGGGUGUAGCAAUACACCAGCGGCGGAAGGGACAGUAAUAUGUAGAUACCAACCCCUGGGACGGGGAUAGCCGCGGGAAACUGCGGGUAAUACCCGAUAACGUCCAAGGACCAAAGGUGUGAUUCCACCUGGGGACGGGUCUGCAUCCUAUUAGCUAGUUGGCGGGGUAAUGGCCCACCAAGGCUGUGAUGGGUAGCGGGUGUGAGAGCACGACCCGCGUCACUGGGACUGAGAACUGCCCAGACACCUACGGGUGGCUGCAGUCGAGGAUUUUUGGCAAUGAGCGCAAGCUUGACCAAGCGACGCCGCGUGCGGGAUGAAGGCCUUCGGGUUGUAAACCGCUGUCAGUAGGAAGGAAGGCUCCGUGAAGAGCGGAGCUUGACUAAUCUGCAGAGGAAGUCAGGGCUAAGCUCGUGC
rnacentral:rRNA from 1 species